AAACCAACAGGGAUUGCCUCAGUAACGGCGAGUGAAGCGGCAAAAGCUCAAAUUUGAAAUCUAGCACCUUCGGUGUUCGAGUUGUAAUUUGAAGAUGGCAACCUUGGGUUUGGCUCUUGUCUAUGUUCCUUGGAACAGGACGUCAUAGAGGGUGAGAAUCCCGUCUGAUGAGAUGCCCAUUCCUUUGUAAGGUGCUAUCGAAGAGUCGAGUUGUUUGGGAAUGCAGCUCUAAGUGGGUGGUAAAUUCCAUCUAAAGCUAAAUAUUGGCGAGAGACCGAUAGCGAACAAGUACAGUGAUGGAAAGAUGAAAAGAACUUUGAAAAGAGAGUGAAAAAGUACGUGAAAUUGUUGAAAGGGAAGGGCAUUAGAUCAGACUUGGUGUUUUACGAUUAUCUUCUCUUCUUGAGUUGUGCACUCGUAUUUCACUGGGCCAGCAUCGAUUCGGAUGGUAAGAUAAGAACAGUUGAAUGUGGCUCUUCGGAGUGUUAUAGCUUCUGUUGAUAUUACCUGUCUGGAUCGAGGGCUGCUCUUUGACUAGGAUGCUGGCGUAAUGAUCUAAUGCCGC
rnacentral:rRNA from 1 species